UUCACACAUUACUUGGGAAUGUAUGCUGAGAAUUUUCUCCUUUUGUUCUUAGGUUCACAAAAGUAUGCAUUGCAUGACUCACAGAUUAUUGGAUUAGACAUAAACUGAAAUUAUUAUACUUGUCCUGGGAUCCUACCAUCUGACCAAUUCAUUCCCGCUUUCUUUUCUCAUAUUUCGCUUUUUUAAGUGUAUCCCGAUGAGUCUUUCCUUUUUCUUGUCUCAAAUCGCUACUUGCUUCAGUAAAUCAGUUUACUUAUCACAAUCUUUUCGUUGUUCAUAGCUCAUGUUCAGAUAGAUAUAAAACUUGAACCAUAAAUUAUGCCGAGGAGGGUCUAUUGUGAGGGUUGUAGCUGUAUGAGAUAGGGUCAGUACGACUUCAGCAUCACAGUCGUUGUACUGGUGGUAGCAACAAUGAUUCUCCACACAGGUGCCGGUGGCUAUGUCUCUUUAAAAUGAUGUGUAUGCCGCUCGAUUCUUGAGCCCUUCUUGGUUAUUCAUUAAUUGGAUAAAAUAUCAGGCCAUGUGUGAAUCUUUAUGGUUAAUUGCAGUCCCACGGAGUACUUAUUUUAUAGAGUUAUGAUAUACGUUGCAUAUUAGUUUUGUGGCAUACAAUCUGCCCAUCACAAUUUUGUUCGAAUGGUAGGAGGAUAAUAUUUAGGAAGGUUUUGGUAGUUUAAACGUGUGCAAGAUGAUAUUUAAAUGUAUGUAAUAAAUAAUUUUGUGUGUGCCUGCUAACAUGUUUGAUAUAUGAAAUUCAGGACAUCGAGCAAGAGUCUAUUACUAAAUUUGCAGGGGAGAAGCAUAUGACCAAGGUAUCUGCAUCACUAUUGAUUUCAAGGGAAGAAGCAGGUGCCAUUCUUCACCUCUAUAGAUGACUGAGCUAUGCAGCCCCGCAAUACAAGCCAAGACUUCCGCUUCUUCAGAGCUCGGGCACCAAGGUAAAUGCUUCCAUUCCGAUAACACCGUAUAACCAGAAUGAUCCCGAAUGACAAUGCCAAUCCCCGCCCUACAACUCAUUGCAUCCCACCCAGCAUCAACAUUGGCUUUCAAAGAGCCAAUGGCUGGAGCUGUCCAUCGGUUCACCACCGAUAAACCCUCAGAACUAUCAGUAGACGCAUUACUGACGAGCAUCUUCCCCUUAGGAUCCGAAACCGUACCACUCGCGGAUAUGAAAUUAUCCAGGUAGUUCCUGAGAUAAGGAAUAGAGGCCAUUUACACCAACAUUCUUAGUCACUGAAGGAUCAAACUGUAAAACGUGUGAGAUAAUCUGUGGAUAAGAAAGAUAGAAAGUAUUAUAGCAACCAUUUACACCAACAUUCUUUAAGACUCAGAGUUAAAACCU